CCUACGGGGGGCUGCAGUGGGGAAUAUUGGACAAUGGGCGGAAGCCUGAUCCAGCCAUGCCGCGUGUGUGAAGAAGGCCUUUUGGUUGUAAAGCACUUUAAGCGAGGAGGAGGCUACCUGGAUUAAUACUCUGGGAUAGUGGACGUUACUCGCAGAAUAAGCACCGGCUAACUCUGUGCCAGCAGCCGCGGUAAUACAGAGGGUGCGAGCGUUAAUCGGAUUUACUGGGCGUAAAGCGUGCGUAGGCGGCUGAUUAAGUCGGAUGUGAAAUCCCU
rnacentral:rRNA from 1 species